rnacentral:lncRNA from 1 species
AGUGCUUAUUUUAGGACACCAAGCUUGUCCUUGGGAAACCAUCAAUUUAUGUCGGCGAAGUGGUUUCCCUUCCAACGCUGACCUAAAUCAAGAUCAACUCAACGAGAUGUGCAAUAUUUAUUAUAGACAUAUGCAUCGACAACCGCCCUUUUAAAGUUUUUAUAAAUAGAAAGGAAGAGGGGGUUGGAGAUCUCAAAUGUGGUGAUGUUGGAGAGACCAAUUGAUUGGGAAGAUGUUGCAUAUGAGCAUGGAGUAAACAAAGUGGCUAUG